UACAGAGGUCUCAAGCGUUGUUCGGAUUCAUUGGGCGUAAAGGGUGUGUAGGUGGCGCCGUAAGUCGGGUGUGAAAUUUCGGAGCUUAACUCCGAAACUGCAUUCGAUACUGCGGUGCUUGAGGACUGGAGAGGGGACUGGAAUUUACGGUGUAGCAGUGAAAUGCGUAGAGAUCGUAAGGAAGGCCAGUGGCGAAGGCGAGUUCCUGGACAGUUACUGACGCUGAGGCACGAAGGCCAGGGGAGCAAACGGG
rnacentral:rRNA from 1 species